UAAAUCUAUUAAAUUAUAAAUUUAAUCUAAAUCAUAUCUAACAAAUUUAUGAUUAAAGAUAGAUCUACACAAACUAGGACAACCUUUGCACUGUAAGGGGUAAACCUUACAGCAGGACAACCUUGCAGUUUGUGAUUGAUCUAAAAUUUUAAUUUCAGAUUUAAUAAUCAGAUUAUAUAUUAGAUCUAAUCUAAGAAAUAAUCUAAGCAUGUAUACAUAAUCAUGUAAUAAAGAACCUUGCUCUGAUACCAAUUGUAGGAACC
rnacentral:lncRNA from 1 species